GAAUGGCCGGCGCUACAAGAACCUAAAUGGGGCACCGAGGCGGAGGCCGACGAGAACACAAUAUACCAGCGAGUGCCGCUCAACUACCUGCAAAUCGUGAACAACAUAAUCAAGCACCGCUGCGCUGACGGCACGGCGGUGACGUUCGUACAACUGCCGCCGCCGCCGAAACUGCCCGCCGCCUCCACGCCGGAAAGCGUCGCCGUUUGCGAGCAGUAUCUAAAGAUUUUAGACGAAUUCACGAAGGAUCUCUCGCCCACAAUCCUGGUUCGCGGGCUCAAGUCGGUGACGUCUACUGCACUAUGAUUCACAUAAGUACGCUUAUUUAUAAUAUUAGCUAAAUUUUAUGGGAACAAAUCUUGUUUGACUCUCUUGAUCAUGAACUUCGAACUCCUAUGUUCUUCUGAUUAAUUUCGUUGCGGGUCCAAUGACAGUUUAACUUUCCCCCGGGACAAACUUGACCUUCAUUGGUUGGGUUUUUAUGGCGGUCAAGCUGUAGAUCCUGGCUACUGCACAGGAGUUGCAGCAGUGAGAAUAGUCCCGCUUCUUGACAUGACAUCAAAAUUGUCAUUGACAUUAUGUGAAAUAAAUACUUUUCGGAAUGAU